AGGUCACCAUAACUGAAGCAUCUGAAGAUGACUAUGAAUAUGAAGAGAUACCAGAUGACAAUUUUAGCAUCCCAGAAGGUGAAGAAGAUCUGGCAAAAGCAAUUCAGAUGGCCCAAGAACAGGCUACAGAUACUGAAAUUUUGGAACAGAAGACAGUUCUUCCUUCAAAGCAUGCAGUACCUGAAGUAAUAGAAGACUUUCUCUGCAAUUUCUUGAUCAAAAUGGGAAUGACCAGAACUCUUGAUUGCUUUCAGUCUGAAUGGUAUGAGUUAAUACAGAAAGGAGUGACUGAACUUAGAACUGUUGAGAAUGUUCCAGAUGUCUACACCCAGAUUAUGCUUUUGGAAAAUGAGAACAAAAAUUUAAAGAAAGAUUUGAAGCACUACAAACAAGCAGCUGACAAAGCUAGAGAAGAUUUGCUGAAAAUUCAGAAACAACGUGAUUUUCAUCGAAUGCAUCACAAGCGAAUAGUCCAGGAAAAAAACAAAUUAAUUAAUGACCUCAAAGGAUUUCUGGACUUCAGGAAACAUUGAAGAAACUGCAAAGAGGACAUAGUUACCAUGCUCCUCAAAUUAAAG
rnacentral:sRNA from 1 species